UCGCCUGUUUAUCAAAAACAUGGUUUUUUGUUUAUAUAAAAGAUUUGGCCUGCCCAGUGAUUAUUAAAUGGCUGCAGUAUAUUGACUGUACAAAGGUAGCAUAAUCAUUUGUCUCUUAAUUGGAGUCUGGAAUGAAUGGUUGGAUGAAAAAUUUACUUUCUUUAUUUUAAAUAAAUAAUUUAAUUUUUAUAUUAAAAAGUGUAAAUAUUAAUAAAGGACGAGAAGACCCUAUAGAACUUUAUUUUUUUAUAUUAGUUAUUUUUUAGUAAAUGAUUAUUAAUUAAUAAUUGAAAAUUUUGUUGGGGUGACAAAAAAAAUUUUAUAACUUUUUUUAAUUUAUUCAUAUAUAUAUGAUUUAUUGAUCCUUUAUUAAGGAAAAAAAGAUUAAGUUACCUUAGGGAUAACAGCGUUAUUGUUUCAGAGAGUUCAUAUUGAUGAAAUAGUUUGCGACCUCGAUGUUGGAUUAAAAUUAAUUUCAGGAGUAGAAAAUUGAAAUAUUAGGUCUGUUCGACCUUUAAAUUUUUACAUGAUCUGAGUUCAAACCGGAGA
rnacentral:rRNA from 1 species